rnacentral:rRNA from 1 species
GAUGAACGCUAGCGGCAGGCUUAACACAUGCAAGUCGAGGGGUAACAUUGGUGCUUGCACCAGAUGACGACCGGCGCACGGGUGCGUAACGCGUAUAGAAUCUACCUUAUACUGGGGAAUAGCCUUUGGAAACGAAGAUUAAUGCCCCAUAGUAAGUAUUUAUGGCAUCAUUUAUACUUUAAAGCUCCGGUGGUAUAAGAUGACUAUGCGUUCUAUUAGUUAGUUGGUAAGGUAACGGCUUACCAAGACAUCGAUAGAUAGGGGUCCUGAGAGGGAGAUCCCCCACACUGGUACUGAGACACGGACCAGACUCCUACGGGAGGCAGCAGUGAGGAAUAUUGGACAAUGGAGGCAACUCUGAUCCAGCCAUGCCGCGUGCAGGAAGACGGCCCUAUGGGUUGUAAACUGCUUUUAUAUGGGAAGAAUAAGGAGUAUGUAUACUCUGAUGACGGUACCAUAAGAAUAAGCACCGGCUAACUCCG